AUGGCGGGGACGGUGCUGAGCAUGGCAAGGUCCAUGCUGGGAGGCGCCAUCAGCACAGCCGCAUCUGCCGCUGCUGCCGAGAUGAGUCUCCUCAUGGGCGUGCGCAAGGAUAUCUGGUUCAUCAAAGAUGAGCUAGAGACGAUGCAUGCUUUCCUGGAGACUGCUGAAGCAAUGAAGGAGAGAGACAAGUUACUGAAGGUGUGGGCAAAGCAAGUAAGGGACCUGUCCUACAAUAUUGAAGAUUGCCUUGGUGAAUUUAUGGUGCAUGUAGCAAGUCAAAGCUUGUCGCGGAAGCUUAUAGAGCUCAAAGACCGCCAUCGAAUUGCCAUGCAGAUCCGUGAUCUAAAAUCAAGAGUUGAAGAAGUGAGCAACAGGAACAUCCGCUACAACCUAAUUGAGAUGAAUAAAAUAAGUAGAGCUAUUGAUGAGAGUAAUUCUUGCAUGGAAGGUAUUCGCAAACAAUCAGCUAGCAACAUUGAUAAUUCUGAACAUGUAGGGUUAGACGAGCCCGAAGAAAAGCUGAUGAAGCUUUUAAAUAACCAUGCUCACAAUGGCCCUGCUCGGGUAGUAUGCGUGGUUGGCAUGGGUGGUCUGGGUAAGACUGCUCUUACAAAGAGGGUUUAUGAACGUAUAAAAAAUACAUAUUAUUGUGCUUGGAUCAAUAUCUCGCAGUCAUUUUCCAGGAUGAAGGUUCUCACAGAUAUGAUCAAACAACUUAUUGAUGAAAAAGCAUCGAAGCAUCUACUUAACAAGAAGGUGGUGCGAGAAGAGGAUCUCGCCGACUACCUCAGGAAAGAACUACUUGAGAAGAGGUAUUUUGUUGUUUUUGAUGACUUAUGGAGUAUAGAUGAUUGGAAGUGGAUCAAAACUAUUGCUUUACCAAGUAGUAAUAACAGAGGUAGCCGGAUUAUGUUAACAACACGAGAUGUUGGCUUAGCUGAGAGGUGCAUUUUUGAAUCUUUUGGAUCACAUAUCUACCACCAUGUACCCCUAGAAGCAAAUGAUGCAAUAAAUUUGCUACUAAGGAGGACAAGGAAAAGUUUGGAAGACAUGAAAAAUGACGAGCAUAUGAGGAAAAUAGUCAUUAAGAUAGUAAAGAAGUCUGGACGGUUACCUCUAGCAAUACUCGCAAUAGGAAGCAUGCUUGCCACCAGAGUGGUCAGUGAGUGGCAAAGUAUUUAUAAUCAACUCCCCUCAGAGAUAGAGAGCAACGGCGGCCUUGAAGUAAUGAGGACAAUGGUUACCCUUAGUUACAACCACUUGCCUUCUCAUCUUAAGUCAUGUUUCCUCUAUUUAAGUAUAUUUCCCGAGGAUUUUGAAAUCAAAAGAAGGCGUCUGGUAGAAAGAUGGAUAGCUGAGGGGUUUGUUGUCGCUAGGGUUGGCUGGAGUUCUGAGGAUGUUGGGAAUAGUUAUUUUAAUGAACUAGCCAACCGAAGCAUGAUUCAACGAUCAAAAGUGAACAUAGAAGGAACUGUGAAGAGAUGUCGAGUUCAUGAUAUCGUUCGCGAUGUCAUAGUCUCAAUUUCUAGAGACGAAAAUUUUGCAUGCUCAACGUGGGAUAAUGUAAUCGGCACAAUAGGAAAUAACUUCCGCCAUGUAGCAUACCAAGGUAGUUUGUGCCCAAAUAAAGGCUUGGACUGGAACCAUGUCCGAUCAUUGACUGUGUUUGGUGACAGACACAUGAAUCCAGCACCUUCACUUUGUUCACCUGACUUUAGGAUGCUUAGAGUCUUGGAUAUACAUGAUGCAUGUUUUGCACAAAAAGACAUCAACACCAUAGGGUCGUUGCGUCAUUUGAAAUAUGUCCAUGUUGAGUCUUCACAUGAACUAACUUAUAUUUACAAGCUCCCACGAUCAAUAGGAAAACUACAAGCCUUAGAGACUUUGGACAUAGGACAAAGUUAUGUGACAUCGCUACCAACUGAGGUCACUAAACUACAAAGCCUUCGUAGCCUUCGAUGCAGCAACAGGAGGGCCGAGGAAUAUUUAUGCUUACUUUACCCCAUGAUCUGGUUCAUGUCAACAUUAUGUAUGCCUAUUUUGUUGACUCCAUUAGUUAAUAUGGAUGAGCGUCCAGGCCUUAUGGUGCGCAUUCACUUGGCCUGGACUGCUCGUUUGUCCAACUCUCAAGGUGUGAGGUUGCCCAAAGGGAUCAGCAACCUAAAGGAGUUAGAGAUACUAGAGAUUGUGGAUAUUGAACGGACAAGUAGGAAAGCAGUUAAAGAGCUCGGGGAGCUUAUAAAGCUAAGGAAGUUAAGUGUCGAUGUAGGGGCAUGCAAGCAAAAGAGCAAGAUACUCUGUACAUCCCUUGAGAAGCUCACUUCCCUCCGCUCUCUUUGCCUUUGUGCGGAUGAUAGUACAUCUGGGAGAAGUGGUGCAUCACUCAAGUGGUUGCAAUCUAUUUCCUCCCCUCCCCCUCUCCUGAGGAAGCUGACUUUGGAUGGAGAUCUUGGGGAGAUGCCUGACUGGUUUGGGGAUCUGGUAAAUUUGGUGAAGAUUCAGUUAAAGUCGAGCAAUCUGAAGGAUGGUGACAAAAGCAUGGAAUUACUAGGCGCACUGACCAAGCUCAUGGUACUUGGUCUCUCUUGGCAGUCUUAUGUUGGGGGGAAACUGAUUUUCAGAGCAGAAACAUUCCCUAGUCUCAGGAGACUUGACAUUUCGGACAUGAAGCAACUGAGAGAGUUGAUAUUUGAGGUGGGCACCUCGCCCCAGUUAGAAAAGGUAGAAAUCAGAUACUGCAGUUUGCCAUCGGGGAUUACUGGUAUCAAACACCUUCCAAGACUCAAGGAGAUUUCACUUCAUUGGAGUGGUCGAGUGGCAAAGCUUGGUGCGCUGCAACGUGAAGUGGACACACACCCCAACCAUCCUGUUCUGCGACUCGGGAUGGACCGGAUCCUCCAUGACCUAGGCGAUGUCGCCGAAGGUUCCACUACAGCAGUGCAAGCGGAAGAAGCGACGAGGAGCGACAGCGAAGAUGAUCUGCGCUAA
rnacentral:rRNA from 1 species